rnacentral:rRNA from 1 species
CCCGUCCCGCCGCCCCCGCCCGCCUACGGGAGGCAGCAGUGGGGAAUUUUGGACAAUGGGCGCAAGCCUGAUCCAGCAAUGCCGCGUGAGUGAAGAAGGCCUUCGGGUUGUAAAGCUCUUUCCAGCUGAGAAGAAAAGAUUGUGACUAAUAACCGCAAUUACAUGACGGUAUCAACAGAAGAAGCACCGCUAACUACUG